UAUGGCCAUAUCAUGUUGAAACAUUGGUUCCUGUAUGAUCACCAAGUUAAACAACAUCAAGCCUGGCCAGUACCUUGAUGGGUGAUCGCUUGUGAAGACGAGGUGCUGUAAG